rnacentral:rRNA from 1 species
UACAGAGGGUGCAAGCGUUGUUCGGAAUUAUUGGGCGUAAAGCGCGUGUAGGCGGCUUUGCAAGUCGGGUGUGAAAGCCCUCGGCUCAACCGAGGAAGUGCGCCCGAAACUGCAGAGCUUGAGUACCGGAGAGGGUGGCGGAAUUCCCCAAGUAGAGGGUGAAAUUCGUAGAUAUGGGGAGGAACACCGGUGGCGAAGGCGGCCACCUGGACACCAACUGACGCUGAGACGCGAAAGCGUGGGGAGCAAACAGG